rnacentral:ncRNA from 1 species
UAAAGGUUUGGUCCUAGCCUUACUGUUAAUUGUAGUUAGAUCUACACAUGCAAGUUUCCGCUGUCCAGUGAAAAUGCCCUCAAAAUUAAAACUAAAUUAAUAGGAGCGGGUAUCAGGCACACUCACAAGUAGCCCAUAACGCCUUGCUUUGCCACACCCCCACGGGAUACAGCAGUGACUAAUAUUAAGCCAUAAACGAAAGUUUGACUAAGUCAUAACUAACUAGGGUUGGUAAAUCUCGUGCCAGCCACCGCGGUCAUACGAUUAACCCAAAUUAACAGAUAAACGGCGUAAAACGUGUUUAAGCUAAAAUACUCACAAUAAAGCUAAGAUCUAACUAAACUGUAAUACGUUAUAGUUAGUAUCAAAAUAAAUAACCAAAGUAGCUUUAGUCACGCUGAAGACACUACAGCUAAGAGACAAACUGGGAUUAGAUACCCCACUAUGCUUAGCCUUAAACCCAGAUAAUUAAAUAACAAAAUUAUUCGCCAGAGAACUACUAGCCAGUGCUUAAAACUCAAAGGACUUGGCGGUGCCCUAAACCCACCUAGAGGAGCCUGUUCUAUAAUCGAUAAACCCCGAUAAACCCCACCUUUUCUUGCCAAUUCAGCCUAUAUACCGCCAUCGUCAGCUAACCCCAAUAGGGAUAAAAAGUAAGCAAGAUCAUCAACCAUAAAAACGUUAGGUCAAGGUGUAGCAUAUGAAAAGGAAAGUAAUGGGCUACAUUUUCUAAAAUAGAAAACAACGAAUUAUCUCAUGAAAACUGAGCAAUAUGAAGGAGGAUUUAGCAGUAAAUUAAGAAUAGAGAGCUUAAUUGAAACAGGCAAUAGGGCGCGCACACACCGCCCGUCACCCUCCUCGACAAAACCUUACAAAUAACUAAUACAACGGAAUACAAAAGAGGAGAAAAGUCGUAACAUGGUAAGUGUACUGGAAAGUGCACUUGGAACAU